rnacentral:rRNA from 1 species
GAUGAACGCUGGCGGCGUGCCUAAUACAUGCAAGUCGAGCGAACAGAUGAGGAGCUUACUCCUCUGACGUUAGCGGCGGACGGGUGAGUAACACGUGGAUAACCUACCUAUAAGACUGGGAUAACUUCGGGAAACCGGAGCUAAUACCGGAUAAUAUAUUGAACCGCAUGGUUCAAUAGUGAAAGACGGUUUUGCUGUCACUUAUAGAUGGAUCCGCGCCGCAUUAGCUAGUUGGUAAGGUAACGGCUUACCAAGGCAACGAUGCGUAGCCGACCUGAGAGGGUGAUCGGCCACACUGGAACUGAGACACGGUCCAGACUCCUACGGGAGGCAGCAGUAGGGAAUCUUCCGCAAUGGGCGAAAGCCUGACGGAGCAACGCCGCGUGAGUGAUGAAGGUCUUCGGAUCGUAAAACUCUGUUAUUAGGGAAGAACAAAUGUGUAAGUAACUAUGCACGUCUUGACGGUACCUAAUCAGAAAGCCACGGCUAACUACGUG